GACAGAGGGUGCAAACGUUGUUCGGAAUUACUGGGCGUAAAGCGCGUGUAGGCGGCUCGGAAAGUCGGGUGUGAAAUCCCACGGCUCACCCGUGGAACUGCUGGGCAUACUGGCGAUCUUGGGCCAACUAGGGGCAGCCGGAACAAGCGGUGGAGCGGUGAAAUGCGUAGAUAUCGGGAGGAACACCUGAGGCGAAGGCGGGCUACUGGGCUGAUACUGACGCUGAUGCGCGAAAGCUAGGGGAGCAAACAGG
rnacentral:rRNA from 1 species